GGCCUCCCAAUGCUUAUCACAGGCUGUGUUCUUUACACUGACUGCAUAGGAAAAGGAGGUACAGUAAAUGUUCACCAUAUACACCUCAAACCAGGCCCUUUGCCUAGCCUGUAUUGUGAAAGGUGAGACAUAA